CUCAGCCAGGGAGUGACCACCCACCUGAGACUGCCCUGAGCCACACCAGCUGGGCACACGGUGGGAGGUGGUGGAGAAGAAGAAGGGGAAGGGAGGUUUGAGUUGAGGACUGAAGAAAGAAAAGUUUGUUCAGACACAGAGCUCUGAGUACUGCUGCAUGGGAGGUCUUUCUGAUGAUGCUGCAUGGGAAGACCAGGGUGGUGUAUGAGUGCUUAGGGAAGGGAUUGCACAGCCCAGAGAAGUGGCCCAGUUUCCUCCUGUGACCUCUACCAGCUCAGCUGCAGAGUUCAACACGCCUUUCUCUUACUUGGGGCUGUGUUCAAAGCCUUGCUCCAGUGGAAUGGAACUUUAUUCUUGUGGAAAGGAGAACUUCUUUUCUUACUUCUUCUCCCAAAAACCUUCAGGAGGCUUCACCCAAUCCCCAGCAGGAGAAAAGUGACAGAGUAAACUGAAAACAGUGAAGGACUAAACUAUUAUUUCCAAGAUGCAAGAAAAGCAGUUUGGAGCUGACACUCAGCCUUUUCUGCUGAGCAGGAGAUAUCCUUUGCCUUCAACAGGUUUCAGGGAAUUGGCAUUGCAAAUGGAUGGAGCAGCAUUAAACAGCUGCAGCCAUGGUGGUCUGAGGUCACCAAGUAAAGUUGGAUCUCUCCUCACUCAUUGGAUACUUGGGGUGUGA
rnacentral:lncRNA from 1 species